rnacentral:lncRNA from 1 species
UUGCUGUUUACAGUUUAUCUUUAUCUAUAAUAAUAUUCAAGAUAAUGACCAAAAAACUGCAAAAUUUCCUUAAAAUUACCAAUUAAGUGGCAGCAACCCAACAAUGGUUUGUUUGAUUCAUCUGAAAAUUUCAGGGCUGAUAGAUCUUGACCUAAUGAACAUUUUUACCCCUGUCAGAUUUGCUCUAAAUGCUUUCGUUUUUGAGAUAUAAGCCAAAAACUGCAUUUGACCCCUAUGUUCUAUUUUAAGUAACAGCGGCCAUGUUUUUUGACGGAUCAAAAAUCGAAGCACACACUUUGUGCAGGAUAAUCUAAGGAACAAUCAUGCUAAGUUUCAUCCAAAUCCAUUCAGUAGUUUCAGAGGAGAAGAUUUUUUAAAGUUAGCAAAUGUGAUGAACAAAUUGUGAAAAAUUGUCAUUAAAGGACAAUAACCCCUUAAGGGGUCAAUUGACAAUUUUGGUCAUAUUAACUUAUUUGUAGAUCUUACUUUGCUGAUCAUUUUUGCUGUUUACAGUUUAUCUUUAUCUAUAAUAAUAUUCAAGAUAAUGACCAAAAACUGCAAAAUUUCCUUAAAAUUACCAAUUAAGUGGCAGCAACCCAACAAUGGUUUGUUUGAUUCAUCUGAAAAUUUCAGGGCUGAUAGAUCUUGACCUAAUGAACAUUUUUUACCCCAUGUCAGAUUUGCUCUAAAUGCUUUCGUUUUUGAGAUAUAAGCCAAAAACUGCAUUUGACCCCUAUGUUCUAUUUUAAGUAACGACGGCCAUGUUUUUUGACGGAUCAAAAAUCGAAGCACACACUUUGUGCAGGAUAAUCUAAGGAACAAUCAUGCUAAGUUUCAUUCAAAUCCAUUCAGUAGUUUCAGAGGAGAAGAUGUUUGAAAAAUUGUUAACGACGACGACGACGACGACGACGGACGCCAAGUGAUGAGAAAAGCUCACAUGGCCUUUUAGGCCAGGUGAGCUAAAAAAGUUAAAG